GUGAGGAAUUUUCCGCAAUGGGCGAAAGCCUGACGGAGCAAUGCCGCGUGAAGGAUGAAGGCCUAUGGGUUGUAAACUUCUUUUCUCAGAAAAGAAUUAUGACGGUAUCUGAGGAAUAAGCAUCGGCUAACUCUGUGCCAGCAGCCGCGGUAAGACAGAGGAUGCAAGCGUUAUCCGGAAUGAUCGGGCGUAAAGCGUCUGUAGGUUGUUUAAAAAGUAUUCUGUCAAAGAUUAGGGCUUAACCCUAGAUAGGCAGAAUAAACUUUUAAGCUAGAGUUUGGUAGAGGCAGAGGGAAUUCCCGGUGGAGCGGUGAAAUGCGUAGAUAUCGGGAGGAACACCAAAGGCGAAGGCACUCUGCUGGGCCAAUACUAACACUGAGAGACGAAAGCGAGGGGAGCAAAUGGGAUUAGAAACCCGGGUAGUCC
rnacentral:rRNA from 1 species